GCCUAAAGCGUCCGUAGCCGGCUCUGUUAGUUUUCGGUUAAAUCCAUAUGCUCAACAUAUGGGCUGCCGGGAAUACUGCAAAGCUAGGGAGUGGGAGAGGUAGACGGUACUCCGUAGGAAGGGGUAAAAUCCUUUGAUCUAUGGAUGACCACCUGUGGCGAAGGCGGUCUACCAGAACACGUUCGACGGUGAGGGAUGAAAGCUGGGGGAGCAAACCGGAUUAGAUACCCGGGUAGUCCCAGCUGUAAACUAUGCAAACUCAGUGAUGCAUUGGCUUGUGGCCAGUGCAGUGCCGCAGAGAAGUCGUUAAGUUUGCCGCCUGGGAAGUACGUACGCAAGUAUGAAACUUAAAGGAAUUGGCGGGGGAGCACCACAAGGGGUGAAGCCUGCGGUUUAAUUGGAGUCAACGCCAGAAAUCUUACCCGGAGAGACAGCAGGAUGAAGGUCAAGCUGAAGACUUUACCAGACAAGCUGAGAAGUGGUGCAUGGCCGUCGCCAGCUCGUGCCGUGAGGUGUCCUGUUAAGUCAGGUAACGAGCGAGAUCCUUGCCUCUAGUUGCCACCAUUACUCUCAGGAGUAGUGGGGCGAAUUAGCGGGACUGCCGUAGUUAAUACGGAGGAAGGAGAGGGCCACGGCAGGUCAGUAUGCCCCGAA
rnacentral:rRNA from 1 species